AUACGGAGGAUGCGAGCGUUAUCCGGAUUUAUUGGGUUUAAAGGGUGCGUAGGCGGUUUGUCAAGUCAGCGGUGAAACGCAAGGGCUUAACCCUUGACCUGCCGUUGAAACUGAUUGACUAGAAUGCGGAUGCUGUGGGAGGAAUGUGUGGUGUAGCGGUGAAAUGCAUAGAUAUCACACAGAACACCGAUUGCGAAGGCAUCUCACGAAUCAGUGAUUGACGCUGAGGCACGAAAGCGUGGGGAUCAAACAGGAUUAGAUUCCCUGGUAGUCCACGCAGUAAACGAUGAUGACUAACCGUCGGCGAUACACAGUCGGUGGCCAAGCGAAAGCGAUAAGUCAUCCGCCUGGGGAGUACGGUCGCAAGAGUGAAACUCAAAUGAAUUGGCGGGG
rnacentral:rRNA from 1 species